rnacentral:rRNA from 1 species
GGUUAAGCGACUAAGCGUACACGGUGGAUGCCUAGGCAAUCAGAGGCGAUGAAGGACGUGCUAAUCUGCGAUAAGCGUCGGUAAGGUGAUAUGAACCGUUACAACCGACGAUUUCCGAAUGGGGAAACCCAGUGCAAUUCGUUGCACUAUCGUUUGAUGAAUACAUAGUCAAACGAAGCGAACCGGGGGAACUGAAACAUCUCAGUACCCCGAGGAAAAGAAAUCAACCGAGAUUCCCCUAGUAGCGGCGAGCGAACGGGGAGCAGCCCAGAGUCUUAAUCAGCAUUAGCAUCAGGAGAACGGUCUGGAAAGUCCGGCAGUAAAGGGUGAUAGCCCCGUAUCCGAAGGUGUUAGUGUUGUGAACUCGACGAGUAGGGCGGGACACGUGU